rnacentral:rRNA from 1 species
GAUGAACGCUGGCGGCGUGCCUAAUACAAGCAAGUCGAGCGAACGGACGAGAAGCUUGCUUCUCUGAUGUUAGCGGCGGACGGGUGAGUAACACGUGGAUAACCUACCUAUAAGACUGGGAUAACUUCGGGAAACCGGAGCUAAUACCGGAUAAUAUUUUGAACCGCAUGGUUCAAAAGUGAAAGACAGUCUUGCUGUCACUUAUAGAUGGAUCCGCGCUGCAUUAGCUAGUUGGUAAGGUAACGGCUUACCAAGGCAACGAUGCGUAGCCGACCUGAGAGGGUGAUCGGCCACACUGGAACUGAGACACGGUCCAGACUCCUACGGGAGGCAGCAGUAGGGAAUCUUCCGCAAUGGGCGAAAGCCUGACGGAGCAACGCCGCGUGAGUGAUGAAGGUCUUCGGAUCGUAAAACUCUGUUAUUAGGGAAGAACAUAUGUGUAAGUAACUGUGCACAUCUUGACGGUACCUAAUCAGAAAGCCACGGCUAACUACGUG